CAAGACCUCGCGCUAUUGGAUGAGCCAAAGUCGGAUUAGCUAGUUGGUGGGGUAAUGGCCUACCAAGGCGACAAUCCGUAGCUGGUCUGAGAGGACGACCAGCCACACCGGAACUGAGACACGGUCCGGACUCCUACGGGAGGCAGCAGUGGGGAAUAUUGGACAAUGGGGGAAACCCUGAUCCAGCGACGCCGCGUGUGUGAAGAAGGCCUGCGGGUUGUAAAGCACUUUUAGUGGGGACAAAAAGCCAUUGACUAACACUCGAUGGUCUUGAUUUAACCCAAAGAAAAAGCACCGGCUAACUCUGUGCCAGCAGCCGCGGUAAUACAGAGGGUGCGAGCGUUAAUCGGAAUUACUGGGCGUAAAGCGCGCGUAGACGGUUUUGUAAGUCAGAUGUGAAAUCCCCGGGCUCAACCUGGGAACU
rnacentral:rRNA from 1 species